rnacentral:rRNA from 1 species
UAUGGCGGCCAUAGCGGGGGGGCCACACCCGUUCCCAUCUCGAACACGGAAGUUAAGCCCCCCAGCGAUCCGGGUUGUACUGAGGUGCGGAAGCCCUCGGGAAGCCCGGGACGCCGCCAGCC